AUUGAACGCUGGCGGCAGGCUUAACACAUGCAAGUCGAACGAGUGGCGGACGGGUGAGUAAUGCUUGGGAAUCGAGCUUAUGGAGGGGGAUAACUACGGGAAACUGUAGCUAAUACCGCGUACCAUAGGAUGAGCCCAAGUGGGAUUAGGUAGUUGGUGAGGUAAAGGCUCACCAAGCCGACGAUCUCUAGCUGGUCUGAGAGGAUGACCAUCGACACGGUGACUGAGACACGGCCCAGACUCCGACGGAGGGCAGCAGUGGGGAAGAUUGCGACAUGGGGGCACCCUGACGCAGCCAGGCCGCGUGAAUGAAGAGGGCCUUCGGGUUGUAAAGUUCUUUCGGUAGCGAGGCGUUAACUACAGAAGAAGCACCGGCUAACUCCGUGCCAGCAGCCGCGGUAAUUC
rnacentral:rRNA from 1 species